rnacentral:rRNA from 1 species
CUUGCUCCCGGAUGUUAGCGGCGGACGGGUGAGUAACACGUGGGUAACCUGCCUGUAAGACUGGGAUAACUCCGGGAAACCGGAGCUAAUACCGGAUAGUUCCUUGAACCGCAUGGUUCAAGGAUGAAAGACGGUUUCGGCUGUCACUUACAGAUGGACCCGCGGCGCAUUAGCUAGUUGGUGAGGUAACGGCUCACCAAGGCGACGAUGCGUAGCCGACCUGAGAGGGUGAUCGGCCACACUGGGACUGAGACACGGCCCAGACUCCUACGGGAGGCAGCAGUAGGGAAUCUUCCGCAAUGGACGAAAGUCUGACGGAGCAACGCCGCGUGAGUGAUGAAGGUUUUCGGAUCGUAAAGCUCUGUUGUUAGGGAAGAACAAGUGCAAGAGUAACUGCUUGCACCUUGACGGUACCUAACCAGAAAGCCACGGCUAACUACGUGCCAGCAGCCGCGGUAAUACGUAGGUGGCAAGCGUUGUCCGGAAUUAUUGGGCGUAAAGGGCUCGCAGGCGGUUUCUUAAGUCUGAUGUGAAAGCCCCCGGCUCAACCGGGGAGGGUCAUUGGAAACUGGGAAACUUGAGUGCAGAAGAGGAGAGUGGAAUUCCACGUGUAGCGGUGAAAUGCGUAGAGAUGUGGAGGAACACCAGUGGCGAAGGCGACUCUCUGGUCUGUAACUGACGCUGAGGAGCGAAAGCGUGGGGAGCGAACAGGAUUAGAUACCCUGGUAGUCCACGCCGUAAACGAUGAGUGCUAAGUGUUAGGGGGUUUCCGCCCCUUAGUGCUGCAGCUAACGCAUUAAGCACUCCGCCUGGGGAGUACGGUCGCAAGACUGAAACUCAAAGGAAUUGACGGGGGCCCGCACAAGCGGUGGAGCAUGUGGUUUAUUUCGAAGCAACGCGAAGAACCUUACCAGGUCUUGACAUCCUCUGACAACCCUAGAGAUAGGGCUUUCCCUUCGGGGACAGAGUGACAGGUGGUGCAUGGUUGUCGUCAGCUCGUGUCGUGAGAUGUUGGGUUAAGUCCCGCAACGAGCGCAACCCUUGAUCUUAGUUGCCAGCAUUCAGUUGGGCACUCUAAGGUGACUGCCGGUGACAAACCGGAGGAAGGUGGGGAUGACGUCAAAUCAUCAUGCCCCUUAUGACCUGGGCUACACACGUGCUACAAUGGACAGAACAAAGGGCUGCGAGACCGCAAGGUUUAGCCAAUCCCACAAAUCUGUUCUCAGUUCGGAUCGCAGUCUGCAACUCGACUGCGUGAAGCUG